rnacentral:rRNA from 1 species
AGGUAAGCUACUAAGAGCGAAUGGUGGAUGCCUUGACUGGUAAAGGCGAUGAAGGACGUACUAGACUGCGAUAAGCUACGGGGAGCUGUCAAGAAGCUUUGAUCCGUAGAUUUCCGAAUGGGGCAACCCAAUGUAUAGAGAUAUACAUUACCUAUAUAGGAGCGAACGAGGGGAAUUGAAACAUCUUAGUACCCUCAGGAAAAGAAAUCAAUAGAGAUUGCGUCAGUAGCGGCGAGCGAAAGCGCAAGAGGGCAAACCCAGUGCUUGCACUGGGGGUUGUAGGACUGCAAUGUGCAAGAGGUGAGUUUAGCAGAACAUUCUGGAAAGUAUAGCCAUAGAGGGUGAUAGUCCCGUAUGCGAAAAACAAACCUUAGCUAGCAGUAUCCUGAGUAGGGCGGGACACGAGAAAUCCUGUCUGAAGCUGGGUCGACCACGAUCCAACCCUAAAUACUAAUACCAGAUCGAUAGUGCACAAGUACCGUGAGGGAAAGGUGAAAAGAACUGAGGUGAUCAGAGUGAAAUAGAACCUGAAACCAUUUGCUUACAAUCAUUCAGAGCCCUAUGUAGCAAUACAGGGUGAUGGACUGCCUUUUGCAUAAUGAGCCUGCGAGUUGUGGUGUCUGGCAAGGUUAAGCAAACGCGAAGCCGUAGCGAAAGCGAGUCUGAAUAGGGCGCUUAGUCAGAUGCUGCAGACCCGAAACGAAGUGAUCUAUCCAUGAGCAAGUUGAAGCUAGUGUAAGAACUAGUGGAGGACUGAACCCAUAGGCGUUGAAAAGCCCCGGGAUGACUUGUGGAUAGGGGUGAAAGGCCAAUCAAACUUCGUGAUAGCUGGUUCUCUCCGAAAUAUAUUUAGGUAUAGCGUUGUGUCGUAAUAUAAGGGGGUAGAGCACUGAAUGGGCUAGGGCAUACACCAAUGUACCAAACCCUAUCAAACUCCGAAUACCUUAUAUGUAAUCACAGCAGUCAGGCGGCGAGUGAUAAAAUCCGUCGUCAAGAGGGAAACAACCCAGACUACCAGCUAAGGUCCCUAAAUCUUACUUAAGUGGAAAACGAUGUGAAGUUACUUAAACAACCAGGAGGUUGGCUUAGAAGCAGCCAUCCUUUAAAGAAAGCGUAAUAGCUCACUGGUCUAGUGAUUUUGCGCGGAAAAUAUAACGGGGCUAAAGUAAGUACCGAAGCUGUAGACUUAGUUUACUAAGUGGUAGGAGAGCGUUCUAUUUGCGUCGAAGGUAUACCGGUAAGGAGUGCUGGAGCGAAUAGAAGUGAGCAUGCAGGCAUGAGUAGCGAUAAUUAAUGUGAGAAUCAUUAACGCCGUAAACCCAAGGUUUCCUACGCGAUGCUCGUCAUCGUAGGGUUAGUCGGGUCCUAAGUCGAGUCCGAAAGGGGUAGACGAUGGCAAAUUGGUUAAUAUUCCAAUACCAACAUUAGUGUGCGAUGGAAGGACGCUUAGGGCUAAGGGGGCUAGCGGAUGGAAGUGCUAGUCUAAGGUCGUAGGAGGUUAUACAGGCAAAUCCGUAUAACAAUACUCCGAGAACUGAAAGGCUUUUUGAAGUCUUCGGAUGGAUAGAAGAACCCCUGAUGCCGUCGAGCCAAGAAAAGUUUCUAAGUUUAGCUAAUGUUGCCCGUACCGUAAACCGACACAGGUGGGUGGGAUGAGUAUUCUAAGGCGCGUGGAAGAACUCUCUUUAAGGAACUCUGCAAAAUAGCACCGUAUCUUCGGUAUAAGGUGUGGUUCGCUUCGUAUUAGGAUUUACUCCGAAAGCGAAGAAACUUACAACAAAGAGUCCCUCCCGACUGUUUACCAAAAACACAGCACUCUGCUAACUCGUAAGAGGAUGUAUA